ensembl:snRNA U1 U1 spliceosomal RNA
UUACUUACCUGGCAGGGGAGAUACCGUGAUCAAGAAGGCGGUUCACCCAGGGCGAGGCUCAGCCAUUGCACUCCGGCUGUGACACCUGCGAAUUCCCCAAAUGUGGGAAACUCGACUGCAUAAUUUCUGGUAGUGGGGGACUGCGUUCGCGCUCUAG